GAGUUUGAUCGUGGCUCAGGAUGAACGCUGGCGGCGUGCCUAAUACAUGCAAGUCGAGCGAACGGACGAGAAGCUUGCUUCUCUGAUGUUAGCGGCGGACGGGUGAGUAACACGUGGAUAACCUACCUAUAAGACUGGGAUAACUUCGGGAAACCGGAGCUAAUACCGGAUAAUAUUUUGAACCGCAUGGUUCAAAAGUGAAAGACGGUCUUGCUGUCACUUAUAGAUGGAUCCGCGCUGCAUUAGCUAGUUGGUAAGGUAACGGCUUACCAAGGCAACGAUGCAUAGCCGACCUGAGAGGGUGAUCGGCCACACUGGAACUGAGACACGGUCCAGACUCCUACGGGAGGCAGCAGUAGGGAAUCUUCCGCAAUGGGCGAAAGCCUGACGGAGCAACGCCGCGUGAGUGAUGAAGGUCUUCGGAUCGUAAAACUCUGUUAUUAGGGAAGAACAUAUGUGUAAGUAACUGUGCACAUCUUGACGGUACCUAAUCAGAAGCCACGGCUAACUACGU
rnacentral:rRNA from 1 species